ensembl:lncRNA
CACGGCACUCUCGCCCCUUCCCUCCGGGCGCCUCCAUCCCGCGGGGGGAGCGGGUUGUCCAGGCCUCUCCACUCCGGGUCCUGCGAACCGCCCUGCCCGGGCUUCCGCCCUCCAGCCCAGGGAAACAACAGCGGGGCUGCCGCCUCCUGCUUGUACAAGGCCGCCGCAGACCCUCCGCACUGCCGUAGAGCCGGCGCACCUCCCUCCCCCCCAUUGCGGGAGCGUUGGUUGGCCCUCCCGGGGCACUCUGGGAACUGGAGGGGCUGCGUUCUCGUUUCCGCUGCGCGUGGGGUGGCGGUGCGUGCUCGCUAAGGAUGCUCCGCGGGGCGGUCGGCGCUUGCCGCUGGGGCCUGAGAACCGGGAGGUGCGGGGGCGAGGCGAGGCGAGGCGAGUGAGGCGGCUGGCCGCUAAGGGGCGGGGCGGGGAGCGGUUGCUGGGAGAUAUGGCGGCGGGCCUGCCUCCCCCCGCAACCGCGUGCUCCCCGCCUUGGCCCAGUGCUGUGCGUGAGGGGAUCGGCCGUGCGCGUUGAUGACCACCCAUAGUCUGUCCAGACCAGAAGAAGAACCUUUUGGAAGAUGGUAAUUUCCUGUUGAUAUCAUCUUCUGCUGAACUCUUUGGGCAGGUUUCUGCUGUGUGGCCAGCACUGCGGUGUCAGGUGUAUGGCAUCCACUGACAGACCUUCUUAAAUGAGGACUUUAUUGAUGUGUGCAACUUGAGUGGGACUGUUGCACGUAGCUGCCCUUUUGCUCGUCCUUCAGAGAUGUUAGUGGGUUUCUAUCCACUUAAUCCCUGGUUGCUGUGGUAGGCAGCAGGAAGCGGUGUGGCAGAGGCACCCGUCGCAUUGGAAGUGCUGAGAAUGAUGGGGGUUUCUGGGAGGAAGGGAGGCUGAGUGCUGUCUGACCUGUGAAGCUGAACAACUAUUUGCUGUAUUUGUUUUCAGACUCCUCAUACUGUACUGCUUCGGUAUCUCAGUCUUUAAAGUGAAAACAUUAUUUUUUUCCUUCCUUUCAAGUGAAAGAAGUGGAAGUUUGGCAGUGGCCGAAGCAAGCAACAGUGCAACCACGUGACAUCGCAGGAGUACGGUGUGCUUGUAACUUUCUUACUAAGCAAUGCUUGCUGUAUAAAAACAUUGUUUACUGAUGAAUUUUGGAGAAUUUGCAUGUUGGGGAAUUGAAACCUUUCAGUUUUGCUGAGAAAAAUGAUCAGUUUUAAUACUCCCAUUUUUGCCUUUGUGUUGCCCAUUCAUUGCCUUCUAAAAUGAAUGUGGUGUCAAAAAAGGCAAACAAGAAUUCUUGCUCAAGCUGUGUAAGGGGCUGGCUAUCUGCCUUUCUCCUCCCUGUUUUUGCAAGGACAGAAAAGCCUGUAGAAACUGCAUGGUUGGGCAAUUGCAUAGUAGAUUUUAUGCGUCAGAGUUUUCAAAAGAAGAAUUUGAUAUUUUAAAAGGGAGAAAAACUGGAUUGUUGAUGGCCAUUCGUCAGACUGUUCAGCUGUCCUGUCUACUAGGAUAACGUGAACAGUUGUGCUGUGAACACGCUGUACAUAACUUUCAGACUCCUGCAGAGGCCUCUGGUUUCUCUUAGUGCAAAUAGGUAUCUGCAGCUUCACAACACUCAGCAAAAGAGAAUACUUUUGCCUUUAUGCAUUAGCUUUUUGUUAUUAAUGGCUGUGGGAGCAGAGUAGCAUAAAGCGAAUACCUUUGCAGGACUGCUCCAUAUUGGUCAUCAAUGUCUUCUGCUGUUGUGCUACAGAAAAAAACAGUGUUCUUUGAUACCCUUUUGAAAGCGUAGAGUAUACUGUAUCCCUAGCAGAUGUGGCUCUUACCUUGGUAAUUAGCAAAGUUUAUUCUUACUGGAGUGCUGAACUCUCUUCUUACAGAGUGUGUUUGUGCAGUAGCCAUGGGUGAUCUUCCUGGCAUCACAGGGAUAGGCAUGUGGUGAAAGCUUCUAAGCAUGUGAAGAGUGUGUACUAGAAGGUGACGAAGUACUGACACCCCAGCUCUCCUGCAGUUUUAUGAGGAAGAAUUGUUAGAACCAGCCUGAAACCAGUGGCAAUGCAAGACUACUCCCUUAGAAACAAAAAGCUGUUAAGGACUUGGGAAUGUUAAGCCUUUAAAUGCUUACACUAACACGAGUUAUUUCUAACUGUAUUAGAACAGUGCUUAUGUAGACAUAAAAAAAAAAAAAAAUAAAGAUUUAUGUUUCUGUUAUUAGAACUCUUGUCUUUUCCAAGCUGUAUUAACUGCCAAACAGAAGCAACUGCCAAGACUUGUUUUUUAUCAUUUUUGGGUUACCAGUUCACUACUUUGGAUUAAAAUACAGGAGUUAAUUAGUGUAUAGAACGUAAUCACUGAAACCAUGCCCCUCUGUAGCACUCAGAGUGGGUUAGCUGUUAGAUGUUGUGGUGAGGAAAAGCAGAAAUUUAAAUUUAGCAAACCUAUGUUUAAAAAUCACAAGAAAGGUGUUUUUCCAACAUGAAGAACUGCAAGCUAGUUCUGUAACUAGCUACAUAGAUCAGCUACAUGUUGUGAUACUUCAAGUAAAGUUAAAGUAGAGUGAAAUGCACUUCAAGAACAGCAAAUUAAUGUCCUAUUUUUUUGUUUGUUUUCUGAGAGGAAAGUUCAUUAAUUCAUUGUAUCAGAAAAGCAAAUGCUAAAUUUCUGUAUCUCAAAUUGUCUUACUGUGUAUUAAUGUAAGCAAAUUAUUAAUGCAACAUCUAAGCACAAGUGGGAGUGAAUUUCUGGUUUCUCAAAAGGGAUGGCAGUUUAGACAAGCAAUAAAUUUGUAGUGUUUUAGAAUGUAGAAAGCUCAAGGUUGUGCUAGGGACUGUACUUCCUGAAGACAGCAUCUGUUCAAGUGUUUUGCGCCUGGGUCUUUGUUUUUGCAUGGCGGGAC